GGGGGAAAAAUUAAUAAAUAUUAGUAUAAAAAAAGAAAUUUUAAAGUAAAAUACUGAAUGGGGGUUUAAGUAUUUUUAUGGAAAAAAUUUUUAAUUUUAUAGAAAAUUAGUAUUGUAAAAGAAUUUUGAAAAAUAAUUAAAAUAAAUUUAAUAGAAAGUAAAUUUAAUUUAUUGUAUCUUGGGUAUCAGAGUUUAUCAAAAAUAAAUUAUAUAAAUAAUAAUCUCGAAUUUAAAAGAGUAAAUUAAUUAUUUAAAUUAGUAUUUUAAAAUUAUUUAAAAUAAUUAAUUGGAAAUGAAAUGUUAAUCGUUUUUAAAUAUAUCUAGUUUUUUUAGAAAAAAAUUUAAUUUUAAAUAUUAUUAAUUUUAAUUUUUAUUAAUAAAAAUUAAAAAAAAAUAAAUAUUUUAUAUUUUAAGGGAUAAGCUUUAAAUUAAAUUUUUAUAAUUAAUUUUAUUUUAAUUAUAAAAUUUUUAAAAUUUACAUUUUUUAUAAAUUAUAAUUUUUUAUAAAUAAUUUUAUUAAAAUUAAAAUUUAAAAUUUAUAUUUAAAUAUUUAUAAAAAAAUGAUUUUUAAUAAAAAUAAAUUAGAUAUAAUGAUAAAAUUAGUACAAAAUUUUAUAAAUGAAAAAAUAAAAAUUUAUAAAAUUUAAAUAAAGGAAUUCGGCAAAAAAAAAAUAUUCACCUGUUUAACAAAAACAUGUCUUUUUGAAAAUAAUUUAAAGUCUAAUCUGCCCACUGAAAUAAAUUUAAAGGGCUGCAGUAUAUUGACUGUACAAAGGUAGCAUAAUCAUUAGUCUUUUAAUUGAAGACUUGUAUAAAUGAUUGGAUGAAAUAUAAUCUGUCUCUAUUUAAAAAAUGAAAUUUAAUUUUUUAGUUAAAAAGCUAAAUUAAAAUUAAAAGACGAGAAGACCCUAUAGAGAUUAAUAUUAAAAAAUUAUUAUUAAAAUAAGGAAAAAUUAACACUAAAAUUUUUUAAAUAUUUUAUUGGGGUGAUGGAAAAAUAAAAUAAACUUUUUUUAAAUAAUAAACAUAAAUAAAUGAAAUUAUGAUCCAUAAUUUAUGAUUAUAAGAAAAAAUUACCUUAGGGAUAACAGCGUAAUUUUUUUCUUAGUUCAAAUAAAAAAAAAAGUUUGCGACCUCGAUGUUGGAUUAAGAUAAAAUUUAAAUGCAAAAGUUUAAAAUUUUGAUCUGUUCGAUCAUUAAAAUCUUACAUGAUCUGAGUUCAAACCGGUGUGAGCCAGGUUGGUUUCUAUCUUUAGUAAAAUAAAAUAUUUUA
rnacentral:rRNA from 1 species